GUGUGGUUUAAUGCGUUCUUCUGUACUGAAUUAUUUUGAAAUGAUUGGUGAGUCUUCAGCUCGAACUCGGCCUCUCGUUCUGUCCGCAGGUCAAGUAUAAAACCAACAAGACGCAGAAACCAGAAGGUUCCUCGGAUCUGCCCAACCUGCUGCAGCUGGAGCACGUUCUGCACGCCAGCAAGCUGCAGAGCAACGUGGAGUACAAGAAGAAGCACGAGCAGACGAAGGCUCUGUACCACACGGCUCUGGACACGGCUGAACAGCUCCACCACAAGGAGAACGCCGUGCUGCACAGCCAGGUGAAGUACAGAGAGGAGUACGAGAGGAGCAAAGGACGCUCUCAGAUGGAGUUUGGAGACACUCAGACGUACAAAGUGUCCAAAGAAGCUCAGAAGAUGCAA